UGGGAUAACUUCGGGAAACCGGAGCUAAUACCGGAUAACAUUUGGAACCGCAUGGUUCUAAAGUGAAAGAUGGUUUUGCUAUCACUUAUAGAUGGACCCGCGCCGUAUUAGCUAGUUGGUAAGGUAACGGCUUACCAAGGCGACGAUACGUAGCCGACCUGAGAGGGUGAUCGGCCACACUGGAACUGAGACACGGUCCAGACUCCUACGGGAGGCAGCAGUAGGGAAUCUUCCGCAAUGGGCGAAAGCCUGACGGAGCAACGCCGCGUGAGUGAUGAAGGGUUUCGGCUCGUAAAACUCUGUUAUUAGGGAAGAACAAAUGUGUAAGUAACUGUGCACAUCUUGACGGUACCUAAUCAGAAAGCCACGGCUAACUACGUGCCAGCAGCCGCGGUAAUACGUAGGUGGCAAGCGUUAUCCGGAAUUAUUGGGCGUAAAGCGCGCGUAGGCGGUUUCUUAAGUCUGAUGUGAAAGCCCACGGCUCAACCGUGGAGGGUCAUUGGAAACUGGGAAACUUGAGUGCAGAAGAGGAAAGUGGAAUUCCAUGUGUAGCGGUGAAAUGCGCAGAGAUAUGGAGGAACACCAGUGGCGAAGGCGACUUUCUGGUCUGUAACUGACGCUGAUGUGCGAAAGCGUGGGGAUCAAACAGGAUUAGAUACCCUGGUAGUCCACGCCGUAAACGAUGAGUGCUAAGUGUUAGGGGGUUUCCGCCCCUUAGUGCUGCAGCUAACGCAUUAAGCACUCCGCCUGGGGAGUACGACCGCAAGGUUGAAACUCAAAG
rnacentral:rRNA from 1 species